UACGAAGGGUGCAAGCGUUAUCCGGAUUCAUUGGGCGUAAAGGGUGCGUAGGCGGCGCGGUAAGUCGGGUGUGAAAUCUUGGAGCUUAACUCCGAAACUGCAUUCGAUACUGCCGUGCUUGAGGACUGGAGAGGAGACUGGAAUUUACGGUGUAGCGGUGAAAUGCGUAGAUAUCGUAAGGAAGACCAGUGGCGAAGGCGGGUCUCUGGACAGUUCCUGACGCUGAGGCACGAAGGCCAGGGGAGCAAACGGG
rnacentral:rRNA from 1 species